rnacentral:rRNA from 1 species
CGGAGGAUGCAAGCGUUAUCCGGAAUGAUUGGGCGUAAAGCGUCCGCAGGUGGCAUUUCAAGUCUGCUGUCAAAGCACAGAGCUUAACUCUGGGUCGGCAGUGGAAACUGGGAAGCUAGAGAGCAAUAGGGGUAGAGGGAAUUCCCGGUGUAGCGGUGAAAUGCGUAGAGAUCGGGAAGAACACCAGUGGCGAAAGCGCUCUACUAGGUUGCAUCUGACACUGAGGGACGAAGCUAGGGAGCGAAUGGGAUU